rnacentral:rRNA from 1 species
AACGAACGCUGGCGGCAUGCCUAACACAUGCAAGUCGAACGAGACCUUCGGGUCUAGUGGCGCACGGGUGCGUAACGCGUGGGAACCUGCCCUUAGGUUCGGAAUAACUCCCCGAAAGGGGUGCGAAUACCGGAUAAUGUCUUCGGACCAAAGAUUUAUCGCCUUUGGAUGGGCCCGCGUUGGAUUAGCUAGUUGGUAGGGUAAAAGCCUACCAAGGCGACGAUCCAUAGCUGGUCUGAGAGGAUGAUCAGCCACACUGGGACUGAGACACGGCCCAGACUCCUACAGGAGGCAGCAGUGGGGAAUAUUGGACAAUGGGCGAAAGCCUGAUCCAGCAAUGCCGCGUGAGUGAUGAAGGCCUUAGGGUUGUAAAGCUCUUUUACCCGGGAUGAUAAUGACAGUACCGGGAGAAUAAGCUCCGGCUAACUCCGUG